CCGGGGAGGGGCCAGGCGAGCCGGGAGCGGCUACCCCGCGCUCCGCGCGGAUCCCAUCUCCGCGGCCGGCCCCGGGCCAGAAGGAUGCGCGGCGCGGGGCUCUGAAGGAUGGAGGGGGUUCUGUACAAGUGGACCAAUUAUCUCACAGGUUGGCAGCCUCGUUGGUUUGUUUUAGAUAAUGGAAUCCUGUCCUACUAUGAUUCACAGGAUGAUGUUUGCAAAGGGAGUAAAGGAAGUAUAAAGAUGGCAGUUUGUGAAAUUAAGGUCCAUUCAGCAGACAACACAAGAAUGGAAUUAAUCAUUCCAGGAGAGCAGCAUUUCUACAUGAAAGCAGUGAAUGCAGCUGAAAGACAAAGGUGGCUGGUUGCUCUGGGCAGCUCCAAAGCCUGUUUGACUGAUACUAGGACUAAAAAAGAAAAAGAAAUAAGUGAAACCAGCGAAUCUCUGAAAACCAAAAUGUCUGAACUUCGCCUCUACUGUGACCUCCUAAUGCAGCAAGUUCACACCAUCCAGGAAUUUGUUCACCACGAUGAGACUCACUCAUCUCCCAGUGUAGAGAACAUGAAUGAAGCCUCUUCUCUGCUUAGUGCCACAUGUAAUACGUUCAUCACAACGCUUGAGGAAUGCGUGAAGAUAGCGAAUGCCAAGUUUAAACCUGAGAUGUUCCAACUGCCCCAUCCGGAUCCCUUAGUUUCUCCUGUGUCACCUUCUCCUGUUCAAAUGGACCUGUUCACUGUUCAAGAAAUACACUUAAUGGAGAUUUGGCAUCAGCAGCCAUUCCUGAAGAAAACAAAUGUACGGCCAAAAAGAAAUCUGAAUUGGAAGAUCCUCUUCCAUCCUUCUCUUCCUGAGGAAACCGAAGUGUCCAGCUUCUUCUAAGUAUUGCUAUGCAAAAGCUGCUGGAGUAGUUUUUCCCUUUUACUUAAGAUUUCUCUGCACUUUAUACAACAUUUUAAUGAGAUGGCUGAGUCUGUCUUUAGGGGCUUGCUGUUGCUACUUGGUGCAGAGGGAGUGUCCUGGCCUGAAAGAAAACCAGAUUAGGCUGCAGGAGCUCCUUUGAAGAGAUAUCUCUUUUAAGAGCCCUGGUGGGCCCAAUGAUCUCAGGACCUGGGAGCUGCAAUACCAGAAGUGCAAAGCCCUGUCUUCGGCUUUAGAAUUCCCAUCUACUCGGCCUGUAGGCUCGGACUGGGCUCGUUAGACAAUUGGCGAGCUGGGAAUCAUCCUCAGCAUCAUCCAGUAAGCUCUGCCUCUCAUUUUAAGGCUCUCCAGGUCCACCAGCAUUACAAGCUAGGACUCGGAAUCUGUAUUCAGCGCCCUGAGGUAGCCUGUGACUUUAGAUCCUCCUUCAUCUUCAGGGACACUCCAGGCCAGGGAGACUGAUGUCCUUGUUGUAUCAGUAACUCUUGGGUUUUGUGGCUUUCCUGGAGGAGCUGAAUAAGACGACAACAUACUUGUUAAGGUUGCUGUAAAGUGGAAAAUCAGCUGUGGCAUCUAACAAAUUCAGUAAACUGGUGAAACAUGGACUGUUUGCAUUAGAAUAUUUUUUUAUUUUGUGAAAAUUUCAUUUAUUGUAUCAGUUAAAAUACUGAACGCUCUUGCUUUUUUCUUUGUUUUAGAUAUGUUUUAUUUGUGAUCGCAACUACUAUCUUUUAUAAACAAUUUUUAAAAAACUGUUUUCAGAAAUAUUGUCUUAAAAUUUUAACCGAUAUAGGGCAUCUAUUAUGAUUCCCAUUUUAAAGAGAAGGAAUCAAAUUUAAGAGAAGAAUAUAAAACCUUAUAUACCAGUGAUUGUUAAGACCCAAGGUGAUGGGAGGGGAUGUAAGGGAACUUUUUGGGAUGAUGGAAAUACUCUAUAUCUUGAUUGUGGUGAUGAGUACAUAACAGUAUACAUCUUUCAAAACCCAUAGAACUAUAUACUUAAAAAGGGUGGGUUUUGCUAUAUAUAAAUUAUACUUCAAUAAACCUUACUUAAACAAAAUGUAUUUACCAAUUGGAUCCAUGGCAACAAUGGGUUUGGAAGGACGACUUGGUUUACCAGUCCCUCUUGCAUUAAUGGCUGUGACACGGUGUUCAUAUUCUAAGCCUUCAAUAAGGCCAGUGGAACGGUAUCGUGUCAUCGUCACUGGUACUUUAUUUACACGGACCCAUCGAUCUGCUCUCACUUCUUUGCGCUCCACAAUGUAUCCAGUCACUUGGGAGCCACCAUCAUCUUCUGGUGGAUACCAAGUCAGCGUCAUGCCAUCACGGGAGACAUCAAAUAUCUGUAAUGUUUCUGGGGGUCCAGGAAUACCUGCAGAAAGACAGGGGUAAACAAAAUAUGGCAAUAAGAAAAAAUCAAAGAGUUGGCAUCUUAAAUGAUAUACAAGACCUUAGUGAUUAUUUUCACUUUUGUACUUUUCUUGAUGUCCCUCAUUUAUGCAUUGUGUAUUUCUUCCUCCCUAUAACAUAUUCAGUCCUUUCCCUCCUUCCUCCUUCCCUCUUUCAUAAAAGUGAUUACAUUAAAAAAAAAAAAAAAAAAGUCUAACAAUGUUGAAAACAUCUAAGAAAAAGAGAUUUAGAAACCUCAGAAAGACUCUGAGGUUCAUUUUGUGAAUUUCAAUUCCUUUGUUGACAUAUAAAAUCGGAGAUAGGGAGAAUGGUGGAAGGGUCCAAGGACUUACUGAUGCUGCUGCGACAUUCUAUGACUUCAGAUUGCAAGUAAGAGCCAAUUCCGAAGCGAUUUGUUGCAGCCACACGGAACACAUACUCAUUUCCUUCAGUGAGUCUAGUAAACUUAAAUGUUGGUCUAGUCACUGAUUCAGAAACUGGCAGCCAUCCUGGACGAUGGGCAUCACGUUGUUCUACUACGUAACCACUCAAUGGAGCGCCACCAUCCAACUCCGGUGGUUCCCAGGAAAUGGUAACUGAAGUAGCAUCAAUUUCAUCAAUCUUGAUAGGCCCAGUUGGUGGACCAGGCUUGUC